rnacentral:rRNA from 1 species
GAUGAACGCUGGCGGCAUGCCUAACACAUGCAAGUCGAACGGUGUCUUCGGACAUAGUGGCGCACGGGUGCGUAACACGUAUGCAACCUACCUUACAUUGGGGGAUAGCCUUUCGAAAGGGAGAUUAAUACCGCAUAAGACAGUAGCUGGGCAUCCAGCAGCUGUUAAAGAUUUAUCGAUGUAAGCUGGGCAUGCGUCCAAUUAGCUAGUUGGUGAGGUAACGGCUCACCAAGGCAAUGAUUGGUAGGGGAACUGAGAGGUCAAUCCCCCACACUGGCACUGAGAUACGGGCCAGACUCCUACGGGAGGCAGCAGUAGGGAAUAUUGGGCAAUGGACGCAAGUCUGACCCAGCCAUGCCGCGUGCAGGAUGAAGGCGUUAUGCGUUGUAAACUGCUUUUAUACAGGAAGAAACGACUCUUGCGAGAGGCAUUGACGGUACUGUAUGAAUAAGCACCGGCUAACUCCGUGCCAGCAGCCGCUGUAACAC